UUCACUUUGUAUAAAAUAUAGGAGGUGAUUGCAUUGCGAUCCGAACAGGAUCUUCAGGCGUGAACAUAACCGGGAUCGCGUGCGGCCUUGGGCGUGGCAUAAGCAUUGGAAGCUCGGCAGGGAACGGCUCAAGUGUGAUAGUGGAGGAUGUACAUGUCUCAAACGGCAGUUUCUAUCAAUCGGAUGGUGGUCUGAGGGUUCAGACAUUGCAGGGAGGGUCCGGUCAUGCUAAAGGGAUCUUAUUCGAGCACAUCAAUUUUACUUCAGUGGGGAGCCCCAUAGUUAUAGACCAGUUUUAUUGUCCCGGCGCGCACUGCAAAAAUUCGACCUCGACUGUGGAAGUGAGCGAUGUUCGAUUUGUUGAUGUACAUGGGACUUCAACAACAGAUGUGGCCAUCAAGUUUGCAUGCAAUGAGAAAGUUCCUUGCACUGGCAUUAUUUUGGAUAAUGUUGGCAUCACAUCAGUGGCCAGGCAAAAUCAAGCUACUUCCUACUGCCUCAAUGCCAAAGGGAAAAAGCUUCAUGAAGUCAUUCCAGAUAUUGCUUGCCUAGCCUAGACAAACAUGAUCUCUUUGAUAGUCAUGUAUUGCAGAUCAUAAGUUAAAUCCCUUUCAUUGAGGGUAACCAUACGAUGAAAAUCGCAUUCAAAUUUUACCUUUUUCUUGUUUCGUUUCAUAAAUAAAUGGGAGGGGAAGGUGGGAAGACAAAGCAUUUCUUUUCACCUUUUUUCUCUGUUCCAAUUUUA